rnacentral:rRNA from 1 species
UACAGAGGUCCCGAGCGUUGUUCGGAUUCACUGGGCGUAAAGGGUGCGUAGGUGGUGAGGAAAGUCGGAUGUGAAAUCUCCGGGCUCAACCCGGAAAUGGCAUUGGAAACUACCUUGCUGGAGGAUUUGAGGGGGGAUUGGAAUACUUGGUGUAGCGGUGAAAUGCGUAGAUAUCUGGAGGAACACCGGUGGCGAAGGCGGCAUCCUGGACCGGUAUUGACGCUGAUGCGCGAAAGCCAGGGGAGCAAACGGG